GGAUGUUGAGACAUGUUGUUGACCUUUUGAGAAAACUUUCUUUGCCCUAGCAGAGGUUCUUUGAGAAGUUUAAUGAGGAUGGAAAGAAUUGUGUUCAGGCAGAGUGUGCAUACGACAUAGAUGUUAUUUCCAAUACUAGGAGAUGAUUCAUUAUUAAUGUGGCUUUUUCUUUUUAUUGGACAUACAGUAUUUUUCUUGCCUUUUCCACUCCACAUUAAUU
rnacentral:lncRNA from 1 species